rnacentral:SRP_RNA from 15 species
GACGUGAAGGUGCCCAAGGCGAACCUCCUGGGGAAGGAGAACAAGGGCUUCCAGUACAUCAUGUCAAACUUCAACCACGAGCGCUUUGCCAUCUGCGCCAUGACGAACCGGUUCAGCCGAGUCUGCCUGGAGGAGUCCGUCAAGUUUGCCAACAAGCGCAAGACCUUUGGGAAGACCCUGAUCCAGCAUCCGGUCAUCCGUUGGAAGGUCGCCGAGAUGGCACGCCUCGUG